rfam:Penicillium italicum strain PHI-1 contig2638, whole genome shotgun sequence.
CCAGCUUCCUUUGCCUCAUGGCUGAGAUCAAGUGUAGUAUCUGUUCUUUUCAGCUUAAUCGCUGAAAGCCCUGCAAUGCAGGUCGUCCCGAUUAUUCUAAUAUUUGGACCUCGCGACUUGGCCUCUGUGCUUGCACACGCCUCGUUGCACUGUGUCACUGGGCUUACACUACCCCCGGUUGAUGCGACCCCUC